rnacentral:rRNA from 1 species
UGCAUAUCCAAAAGCGGAGGAAAAGAAACCAACAGGGAUUGCCUUAGUAGCGGCGAGUGAAGCGGCAAAAGCUCAAAUUUGAAAUCUGGCGCCUUCGGUGUCCGAGUUGUAAUUUGAAGAUUGUAACCUUGGGGUUGGCUCUUGUCUAUGUUUCUUGGAACAGGACGUCACAGAGGGUGAGAAUCCCGUGCGAUGAGAUGCCCAAUUCUAUGUAAGGUGCUUUCGAAGAGUCGAGUUGUUUGGGAAUGCAGCUCUAAGUGGGUGGUAAAUUCCAUCUAAAGCUAAAUAUUGGCGAGAGACCGAUAGCGAACAAGUACAGUGAUGGAAAGAUGAAAAGAACUUUGAAAAGAGAGUGAAAAAGUACGUGAAAUUGUUGAAAGGGAAGGGUUUGAGAUCAGACUCGAUAUUUUGUGAGCCUUGCCUUCGUGGCGGGGUGACCCGCAGCUUAUCGGGCCAGCAUCGGUUUGGGCGGUAGGAUAAUGGCGUAGGAAUGUGACUUUACUUCGGUGAAGUGUUAUAGCCUGCGUUGAUGCUGCCUGCCUAGACCGAGGACUGCGAUUUUAUCAAGGAUGCUGGCAUAAUGAUCCCAAACCGCCCGUCUUGAAAAACGGGA